CUCCUGCACCGGCGGUAGUGCUGCUGUUUUGCUGCGUGUCCUCCUCGCGUCUACACCGUCCAUCUCGGACACUAUUUCCAUCAUGGUGGACAUUUUGUUGUUGAUGUUCUUCGCCAUCGUCGGCCUCGUCUUCCUUUCCUACAUCAUCUACUUGCUGUAAUAAUGAUGAUGAUGAUGAUGAUGAUGAUGAAGCGUCCUGCUCAGCCACAGAGGCGGCCGGUGCACAGGAGUACACAGGAUGUGUGCUUUUCCUCUCCUGCAUCCCUGGUGUCCAUCAUGGACAAUGGGAGAAGAGCCAGGGUCCAGCCACGAUGGUUUCCCCAUUGGAGCUCUCAUGUAGGAGGUGAAGAGCAGUCAAGCUGAGGGGCAAAACAAAUGGGGAAGAAGUGGAAGCCAAACUCUUUUUUGCCUCUCUAUCUCCCACUUGCACUCUGUCAUCAUCCCCCUCUUCCUUUACUGGCCCAGGAUCCUACAAGCAAAAUCUCACUCCAGGAGCUCCCAUUUACUUGUUUUGCAAUCAGUCCAACCAGUGUGGUUUCUACUCAAGGUUGUGCGCUCUCAAAAGGGGGAGAAAUGUAACCUCUGCACAAGUCCAGUAAAUUUGUAGAUACGGAUACAGGACGGUGUUGUGGACUUGAGCGUAAAACAAGUGUGUAGAGUUUGCCUUUUUGACAACACUGUGAGCUAGUUGUUGGCUCUAACUGUAAUAUGUAGUGUGGUUUGACUGUGUGGCCAACCCCUCUGUACGUUUCGUAUGUUUUGUCAAAAGAGCCUCAGACUUUUCAUAUGUUCAGCCUUGACAUCAGUGUUACUUUACUCACGUGUUGCCAAGAUGUUCUUAUUACAAUCAAGAUUCCCUAUCAGGUUAAAGGGGAACAUUUUAGUCAUAUAACUAGUUAUAUAGAGUUAUGUCUUUCUGAUUUUGUUUCUUACUUUGGCUACAGGUGACAUCAGGAGGGUGUCAUUACAGAAAUAACUCCACUGUAUGUGCUUCUCAGUUUUACCACCAAACCUCAAUUAAAUUGUGUAUUAUAUAAAUAAUGUUGAGUUUAUUGAUGCACUGAUGAUGUACCUAGGUAAAUGGCAGUAUUUCACAAGAUAUGUCAAAUAAAGGUGAUUUCUGUAAACCUA